GUCCCCAUCGUCUAGUUUGGUCUAGGACACCGCCCUUUCACGGCGAAAACAGGGGUUCAAAUCCCCUUGGGGACG
rnacentral:tRNA from 1 species